GGGGAUGUAGCUCAGGGUGCAGAGCCUGCCUGGGAAGUUUGAAGCCCUGAGUUCGAUUCCCAGCAUACACA
rnacentral:tRNA from 1 species